ensembl:lncRNA
GGGGGUCGAAUCAACGUUUCUCUUUGCUUUGGUUUUUAAUUGGACCUCGUGCUUGAAUUCUUCCUCGCUGCACACUAAGAGCAGCGAAGGCAGAUUGCCGGUGCUGCAUUCCCUCUCCAUACCUGGGGGGAAAGUGUAGCGUUGAGUUCCGGGCUGGAAUCCCAUUGCUGGUCCCCGGAGAGGUGAGGUCCUCUCUCCAACCCACACGUAGGUGAUCAAUCCCUCUUAUUACAGCGUGCCACGGCCCAGCCGGGCGCUGCGAGCUCUGAGCACAGGGUUGGCAGGUUCCAAAACCGUUCACAAGGAGGGUUUGGGCUGCGAUUUUACCUCUGCAUGGCAAAUUGCAAAAAGAAACCUUCGGUCGGGGCAGCCGUGCGUCGUUAGCUAAUUAUGGACAGUGCCUUAGCUUCUCUCCAGGAUUAUGCACCGUUUCUAUAGGUCUGAGCUGAAGCGGGAGCCUCCAGAAGCACACGCCGUGCGUUAAACCAUCUCUGCAAAUGCGUUUCGGUGGUGUGGCUGAAGUUGGCAGGCCGCAGGGAGUGAGGAGGUGACCUCUGGGUGAUGGUUUCCCUCCGUGGCAGCUGCCGGCGGUGCCAUCCGAUGGGCCGUUCCCAGGACCCCGAGCAGCUCUUGCUACAGCUCACUUACCUCACUGCUGGAAGGGCAUUACGGUACCGCUCCGACCUCUCCAUCGAGCGUUGUACAAAGGUUGACCCUUUCCCAAUGACUGUUACCUGUCGCCUUUUCCCAGCCUGUGUAUAAAGAUGUUGGUGAGAUGCACUGCGUGCAAAAUGUCUUUUUGUGUCUCUCCGUGGGAGCUGUGGGGGCAUCUCCGCGUAAAGGGCGCAUUCUCCCCCCGUCUCUUUAUUAUUUCCCCAUCUGUUUGGACAGAUGUCGACUAUUAAAAACCUUUUCUGGGCGGCUCCGUUCUCCUUGCUGGUUGUUCAGAGCUCUCUGAAAGCUGCGGGGCUGCCCUGGCCGAGCUGUAAGGGAUCUCCCAUUGUUGGUGGGUUCUGAUAACAGCGGUGACUUCUCGCCGCUGUCCGGUGCUGCGUCUCCCGGUCCUCAUGGAACCCAACUCGGGAUGGGACAUCCCAGAUGGAGCCACGCAUCCCCCAGGGGCUCUGAAUGGCUGUCGGCACCUCGCAGUGACUCCCAGUGGCCCUCGGUGGCUCUUGGUGGCUCUUGGUGGCUCCUAGUGGCUCCCAGUGGCUCUCAAUCACGCUCAGUGGCACCCAGUAGCUCUUGGUGGCUCUCAAUUGCUCCCAGUGGCACCCAAUGGCCCCCCGAAGCUCUUGGUGGCCCUCAGUGGCUCCCAGUGGCCCCCUGUAGCUCUCAGUGGCUCUCACUGACCUUCAGUUGCUCUCAGUGACUCUCAGUGGCCCCCAGUAGCUCUCAGUGACUCCCAGUGGCUCUCAAUUGCUCUCAGUGGCUCCCGGUGGCUCUUGGUGGCUCUCAGUUACUCUCAGUGGCUCCUAAUGUCCCCCCAUAGCUCUUGCUGCCUCUCAGUGGCUCUCAAUCACUCCCAAUGGCUCUCAGUGGCUCCCAGUGGCUCUCAAUCACUCUCAGUGCCCCCUCCCUAUAGAUCUUGGUGGCUCUCAAUGGCUCCCAGUGGCUCUCAGUGACUCUCAUUUGCUCCUGAUGGCUGUUGGUGGAUCUCUAUUGCUCUCAGUGGCUCCCAGUGGCCCCCUGUAGCUCUUGAUGGCUCCCAAUAGCUCUCAGUGGCCCUCAGUGGCUCCCAGUAGCUCUCAGUGGCUCUCACUGACUCUCAGUUGUUCUCAGUGGCUUCCAAUGGCCCCCCCAUAGCCCCCCUCUUGAUCACUCUCAGUGGCUCUCAGUUGCUCUCAGUAGCAAUCAGUCGCUCCCAGUGGCUUCCAGUGGCUCUCAGUGGUUCCCAGUGCCCCCCACCCCCAUAGCUCUCAGUAGCUCUCAGUGGCUCCCAGUCGCUCCCAGUGGCUCUCAAAGGCUCUCAGUGGCUCUGAGUGGCUCCUGGUGGUUCUUGGUGGCUCUCAAUUGCUCUCACACUCCCGAGGGCCCCCCAUAGCUCUCGGUGGCUCCCAAUGGCUCUCAGUGACUCUCAGUGGCUCUCAAUUGCUCUCAGUGGCUUCCAAUGGCUCCCAGUAGCUCCCAGUGGCCCCUCCUAGCCAUUGGUGGCGCUUGGUGGCUCUCGGUGGCUCCCAAUGGCUCUCAAUGGCUCCCAGUAGCUCCCAGUAUCCCCUCUUAGCUCUUAGUGGCUCUCAGUGGCUUCCAGUGGCUCCCAAAGGGUCCCAGUAGCUCCCAGUAUCCCCUCUUAGCUCUUAGUAUCUCUUGGUGGCUCCCAAUAGCUCCCAAUGGCUCUCACUGGCUCCCAGUAGCUCCCAGUGGCCCCUCUUAGCUCUUAGUGGCUCUUGGUGGCUCCCAGUGGCUCCCAAUGGCUCCCAGUAGCUCCCAGUAUCCUCUCUUAGCUCUUAGUGGCUCUUGGUGGCUCCCAAUGGCUUCCAGUGGCCCCUCUUAGCUCUUGGUGGCACUCAAUGGCUCCCA